rnacentral:rRNA from 1 species
CCUACGGGCGGCAGCAGUGAGGAAUAUUGGUCAAUGGGCGCGAGCCUGAACCAGCCAAGUCGCGUGAAGGAUGACUGCCCUACGGGUUGUAACCUUCUUUUAUAAAGGAAUACAGUGAGCCACGUGUGCCUUUUUGUCUGUACUUUAUUACUUAGGAUCGGCUAACUUCGUGCCUGCAGCCGCGGUAAUACGGAGGAUCCGAGCGUUUUCCGGAUUUAUUGGGUGUAAAGGGAGCGUAGAUGGGUUGUUAAGUCAGUUGUGAAAGUUUGGGGCUCAACCGUAAAAUUGCAAUUGAUACUGGCAGUCUUGAGUACAGGUGAGGGAGGCGGAAUUCGUGGUGUAGCGGUGAAAUGCUUAGAUAUCGCGAAGAACUCCGAUUGCGAAGGCAGCUUACUAAAGGGCCACUGACACUGAUGCACGAAAGUGUGGGUAUCGAACAGGAUUAGAUACCCUAGUAGUC